rnacentral:rRNA from 1 species
CCGUGCGAAGGUAGCAUAAUCAGUAGUCUUUUAAUUGAAGGCUUGAAUGAAUGGUUGGACGAGAGGUAAGCUGUCUCUUUUAUAUAAUUUGAAUUUAACUUUUAAGUGAAAAGGCUUAAAUUGUUUAGUGGGACGAUAAGACCCUAUAAAACUUGAUAUAAGUUUAAUUUAAUUUGUGAUUUAAGUGAAGAGCGAUUUUGUUGAAUUUAUAUUUUGUUGGGGAGAUGUAGAUAUAAAGUGUAACUGUCUAUUGAAUUUAAUAGUAAUAAUUAGUUUUUGAUCCUUCUGUGGAGAUUAAGAGAGUAAGUUACUUUAGGGAUAACAGCGUGAUUUUCCUUGAGAGUUCUUAUCGACAGGAGUAGUUGCGACCUCGAUGUUGAAUUAAA